rnacentral:rRNA from 1 species
UACGAAGGGGGCUAGCGUUGUUCGGAAUUACUGGGCGUAAAGCGCGCGUAGGCGGCUUUGUAAGUUAGAGGUGAAAGCCCGGGGCUCAACCCCGGAACUGCCUUUAAGACUGCAUCGCUUGAACGUCGGAGAGGUGAGUGGAAUUCCGAGUGUAGAGGUGAAAUUCGUAGAUAUUCGGAAGAACACCAGUGGCGAAGGCGGCUCACUGGACGACUGUUGACGCUGAGGUGCGAAAGCGUGGGGAGCAAACAGG